rnacentral:lncRNA from 1 species
CGGCGGUGCAGGGUGGCCGUCUCCGGUCCCUAAAACACUGUGAGAAAAGCUUGAAAGUAAGAGGAACGAUACCGCAGUUUGAAGGAGCUACGCUAGAGAAGGUUAAAGGAGGAUGAAGAGACCUAUUCAAGGAGGUUCUGUUGGAGAUGCAGAAAAAUGCAGCAGUUAUGUCUCAAAAGUGAAGCAAGAACUGCAAAUGUCUCUUACCCUCUCCUGUCCUAGGUACUUCGUGGCAGCAGGUGUUUCAGGACCAGAGAUUGCUUCUUAGCCUUUCAAGGAAAUUAGUCUGGAGCUGGAGACUUUUGCAAAUAAAAAGCAUUUGUAAGUG